rnacentral:tRNA from 1 species
GGGCGCAUAGCUCAGUUGGGAGAGCACCUGCUCGACAAGCAGGGGGUCGCUGGUUCGAGUCCAGUUGUGCCCA